rnacentral:rRNA from 1 species
UACGAAGGGGGCUAGCGUUGCUCGGAAUCACUGGGCGUAAAGGGUGCGUAGGCGGGUCUUUAAGUCAGGGGGGAAAUCCUGGAGCUCAACUCCAGAACUGCCUUUGAUACUGAAGAUCUUGAGUUCGGGAGAGGUGAGUGGAACUGCGAGUGCAGAGGUGAAAUUCGUAGAUAUUCGCAAGAACACCAGUGGCGAAGGCGGCUCACUGGCCCGAUACUGGCGCUGAGGCACGAAAGCGUGGGGAGCAAACAGG